rnacentral:lncRNA from 1 species
AUUCAUCACUCUCUUAAGACGGUUGCUUUGAUGUCACAUAUAUCUAUGGAUUGAGAGCAUGCUGCAUGUAUUUCUUCAUAUAGGUGUAUGUCUUUGUUAACUAAUCUUAACAUUUCUUGUGCUAUUAAAUAAUAUAUAUUUUUCAUUCUAUAAAAAUAAAAGAAUUUUGUGACAAAUUGAAGAAAAAAUGUCACAAAUUUCUUUCCUAAUAAAAGUACUUUUCAAUUUUAACAAAGGAAUCCGAGGAAUACAAUUGGGGAGAGGAAAGUUCAAUGACAAAUUCCCAAAUAAAAAACUUGUGAUUGAUCUCAUGGAAAAGUGGCAUAUAAGUGGACCAUAUAUGAUGUGGACCAUAUAUAUAUUUCUUGUUAUUUCAAAUGGACCUCUCAAAAAGUUCAAAGAUUUACAUUACUUUUUAUAGAAAAAUAAUAAGUUUUCUAAUAAUUAUAAAGAAUUGUAAUAUUUAUAAAAAUUUGGUUAAAUACAUUAUAUCUAGUCAAUAUGAACGAAUUUCGAAUAUACUCAUGUAAAAAAAUAGAUUUUUUUUUUGUAAUUUUUAAAUUCUGUUUAUUUGACCAUUUUCUCAUCAAUAAACUAUAAAAUUUUGAUAUUUGUUGAAUUGACAAUAUAUGUGAUUUAUUAUUUAUUUUUUAUGACAGUGUCACUAAAUUACAAGAGGGAUUAAAAAUGUUCAUGAAAAAAUUUAUGAGGGCUAUUUUUUUAAAAAAAUAUUUUGAGGGAUUGAAAAUGAAAUUUAAGAUAUUUAUGAGGAUCACAAACAUAUUUAAUUCAAAUAAAAAAUUUAAAAAAUAUAUAUUUUUUUUAAAAAAAAAUUCACGUGAAGUUUGAAAAAUAAAUAAAUAGUUAAAGAAAUCACGUAGACAGACCACUUCAGCAUAAGUGAAGGUUCCUUGUCAAGUUAUCACCUAAGCGAGCAAAGAAACAUAAUCUUUACAUUAUAAUGGAAAAUCCAAAAAAAUAUUUUAUAGAGAUAAACAAAAAAGUUAAAUGGAGUAAAGUAUAUUUAACCCAAAAAUUUAUAUAGUGUUUUCAUCUUAAAAUUUUUGUAUGAAUUUACUCCUUGAUGUCGAUAUCAAUAUCUUUAUUAUGUAUGAGCAGACUAAAUAUUCAGCAUGGACUUAAUAGUUCUUACGUGUCCGCCGAUCGUGGUUGGUGUUGGCCAUGGUGGAAUAGGGCAGGGAUAUGACAAACCUUGCACUACUACAAAAAGUACAUACAACGACGCCAUUGUUACCACGGUCCUACGUAGGACCACGGUGAUAUCUCUAAAUUCAGGCGUCUAUAUAUUUUUUAUUUUUUAAUUAAAUGUUGUUAACUUAUCACCACAUGUUUUUAAAACAACCGCAGUGAUAUCUUUUGACGUUUCAUGAGUUUGAUUCUCAACGUCUUCUAAUUCGACAUUUCUUCAUAUUUAUCAUCGCCUUUCAUUUUUAUUUUAAAAAAGAAAGUUUAUCAUCACGGUUGUCUAAAUACACCGUUAUAAUAUAAUUUUCAUUAUUUUUUUAAAACCUGACACUUUUUUUAUAUAUCACCGCAGUUGUCUAAAUACACUGUUAUAAUAUAGUUUUCAUUAUUUUAAAAAAAUUUAAUUGCUUAAAAUGUGACGUUUUUUUUAUAAAAUGUCAUUAAUGUAAAUUAUAUAUCACCACGAUUAUCUAAAUACACCGUUACAAUAUAGUUCUCAUUAUUUUUUUUAAACUUUUAAUUGCUUAAAACCUUACACUUUUUUUAUAAAAUGUCAUCAUAUAUCACAACGGUUUUGAUUAACAACCGUGGUGAUAUGUUUUACUCACUUUAAAUAGAGCUAGCUAACUUGUAUCUUCAGUUCCAUAUUUUUAUUUCCAUCAAUAAACAACCCCUGAAGAAACAACGCGAUUUUCAACCGAACAACAUCAUUUUCAACUCUAACAAAACAAAAAUCAGUUUCAACCCUAACGAAACGUGCAACACCAUCUUCAAACCUGAAGAAACAUAAAAAAAAUCAACCAACGUUUGUGUUUUUGUAUCGCCGAGGAAGGAGUCGACAUUGUGUUCUUCGUUCUUGACGAGCGUUCGGUUUAGCAGUCGAAGAGGAACUAAAAGAUUAUGAUAAUAUUUUUUUACUUAUUCAUCAUUUUUCCGGUAUGUAAUCUUUUUUCCCAUGCAUCUAUAGUACUGUCAUUUUCCAUUGGUGUUUAUGUAUUUGUUGUUGUUUAUGCUAUUGUUGAUGAUGCUUUUGUUGAUGAUGCUAUUGUUGAUGGUGCUAUUGUUGAUGAUGUUUAUUGAUGAUCCUAUUGUUGAUGCUGCUAUUGUUGAUAAUGUUUGUGUCUUGAUUGCACUGUUGUUGUUGAUGAUGUUUGUUUAUGAUGCUAUUGUUGAUGAUGUUUGUUGAUGCUUUUGUUGAUGAUGCUAUUGUUGAUGAUCCUAUUAUUAAUGACGUUUGUAUCUUGAUGUCACUGUUGUUGUUGAUGAUGUUUGUUGAUGAUGCUAUUGUUGAUGAUGUUUAUGUCUUGAUGUCACGGUUGUUGUUGAUGAUGUUUGUUGAUGAUGAUAUUGUUGAUGAUGUUUGUAUCUUGAUGCCACUGUUGGUGUUGAUGACGAUGCUAUUGUUGAUGAUGUUUGUUGAUGAUGUUAUUGUUGUUGAUGUUUGUUGAUUGUUUUAUAUCUUGAUAGAUAGUCUUGUCUUUAUCUUGUAGCGAUGAAGCUGUGUAUACAAAUGAAACAAGUUCAAAUGAUACUCAAUUUGUAGUAGGACAACAGAAAAAAAUAUAUAAAAAAUGUGCCACAAUGAUGGGUAAAUUAGAAAAAGUCCGCAACUCGGGUGUCAAACUUCCGGUCGAGUUUAGUGUUGCUUAUAUUAUUCUUGAUGGACCAUAUUCAUCUCUUUUUAAGAGUUAUGUUGUGUUCCUUGGACGUUGCAAAGUCAACAUAUUGUUAAAUGAUUGGAAAUAUGUAGUUGUUGAGGUGAAAAAUAACAUAUGGACAAACAUUCAAGUAUAUUAAUUUUAAUUUUCAUCGAUUAGAUAUUACUUUAUAUAAACACCAAUACAUACUUAUUGAUGUAAAUGUGUAGUUGACAGUUGAGUUUAAUAAUGAUCCAAAAUUGAAAAAAAAAUGGAUCACUUAUGUUGGUACGACUUGGAGAAAUUUUAAGUCACGACUCACAAGUGACUACAUUACGAAGCCUAAGCCUAAUAUUAAGCACACAUGGGUGAAAUAUCCUUUUCUUGACAAGAAGGUCCGGAAAAAGUUUGUGAAGUCUAAUAGUUCUGAGGAGUUCAUGGUUAGUAAGAGUUGUAUUUUCUGAUCACUUUAUGGAUAUAACCAUGGACUUUAAUAUUUUUCCUAUGUUUAAAUAAAGUUAAAAGUGAAGUAGGAAAAUUGAACAAGUCUAAAAACAAAUACCCAUAUAGAUUAUCUCAUGGGGGAUACAAGAAACUUGAGAAAAUAAGGAUUCCUGAAAAAAUAAAAACUAGGAAAUGGGGACUCCAUGAGUCGUGAUCAGGAACCACAUCCACCAUCACGACAUGAGAAGUGGAAGAAGGUUCACAAAGACCAAAUGGAGAGUACACUUCAGAUGCCUCAAGAGUCGCUGAGAAAAUUAUAAGUAGGAUUUGUUGUGCAUAUGUUAUGUGUUGUUUAAAUCCUUUUGGUAAUAAACAAUGUAUGUCUUAUCAUGUUGUUUAGGAUUCGUUGGUUAAAUCAGCUUGUGAAGGUUCCUUUGUUCCAGAACCACGUCAUGAUAUAUUAUUAUAAGCAAUCAGAAUAAAGGAGCAUGGUGGGCGUAUCCGUGGGGUUGGAGAUGACAUAAGCCUGAGAGUGUUUUUUGGUACGUCUAAAAAAAGCACUGGACAAGUGCAAAAAGAAAAGUUGGAAUACCUUUAGAGGAAUAUAGAUACUCAAAAGCAAUAAUUUGACGAGAAGUUAUAAGUGGAACGGGAAACUCGCCAGAAAGAAUUGGAAUAAUUAAAAGAGUUAUAUGUGGUAUGUGAUAGUGAGAAUUGUGUUAUCUGAAAUGUAUGAUAUAUACUGUGUUAAUUCUGUUUUGUGUUACUGUAUGCUUUUUAUGAUUUAGAGAAUAAAUGGGACCGUCCCACAGUGUACAAAUGAAGAUGAUGAUGUUGGUGAUCAAUUGCCAACUGAUAGAAAUGGUGCAAGCACAAAAGGUAGUUGUUCAGCCACCCCACUAGUAUCCAUAACAGGUUAUUGGCUCCCUCUGAAGAAUCAUACACCAACAUGUUAUGUUACGUAUGUGCAACGGAUACGUUGUGUUUACUCUUCCGCUAGAACAUGAUCCAGAGAUAUAGGGGUUAAAGGAUUCUUUAUGAUUUCAAUAAGUGAGUAGUUUUAAAAUUAUGGUUUCUCUACUAUAGUUAGUUUUCAUAUUUUACCAAAUACUAAUUAGAUAUGCUUGUAUUGUUCAUUCAGAGAAUAUUAUCAAUUGAUCAUCAUAUCUCUUCAAACGAAUAUGGUAACUAAAUUGUGUUCGUUACACUAUGAACUUGAUCCCAUGAUGAAACAAAUUAUUACUAGGUAACUUUAUGUUUAUGAGACUUUUAAUAAUAUUUUCUUUGACUUUGUAAUUAUGUUAGCGUGUAAUAUUUUUAAAUCAUUUUCAAUAAGCAGGGUUGUGGAGAGACACUAUAGGUUGAACAACUCAAAAAAAAUAACUCGUAUUUUGUGAGACAAGGUAAGUGGAUUAAUUGUCAUAUCCACUUAUAUAUAUUUAUGAAAUGUGUGGUUAUAUAAUCCUGAAAUAUUUAAAUUUAUAAAUUAAGAAACAAGCAGAGAGAUACGAGUGUGUGCACUAUAUAAGAAACGACAUUAUUGAUUCGUGGGGUCAGGUAUAUAUAUGUAUAUCCUAUAUUAGUAUAUGUAUAUAUAUAUAUAUAUAUAUAUAUAUAUAUAUAUAUAUAUAUAUAUAUAAUAUAUAUAUAAUAUAUAUAUAUAUAUAUAUAAUUAUAUAUAUAUAUAUAAUAAUGUCGUAAAAUAUUUAAUAACCAUAUUAAUUUGCUAUUAUAAUUCAAAUCACGUAAUAUUCAAUUUUUUCCACUUGCUUAUUGUAGACGUUUGCAUGAUAUUUUCUCUCUCCAAAGACUUAGAGACGUUCGUAGACGUUGGACGUUUAUACUCAUUUGAAUAUAUAUAUAUAUAUAUAUAUAUAUAUAUAUUAUAUAAUAUAUUAUAUAUAUAUAUAGAUAUAUAUAUAUAUAUAUAUAUAAUAUCGUAAAAAUAUUUUCAAUAACAUAUUAAUUUGGCUCUUAUAAUUCAAAUCAUGUGAUAUUCAAUUUAAACUCAUGACCUUUCGCUUUAUGUCACAACAGUUGUAUACUUUGACUAUUGUGAUAUAUAGCGUGCUACCUAGUUUAUCACAAUAGUCUUAUGCUCGUGGUGGAAAACAUCAUACAUACAAUCAUACUCUACCUAACAACGGUUGGUCGGACGUGGUUGUAUCCUUUUUCCAACCGUUAUGAUAGGUGUUUUUCGUAGUAGUGUUAAUAUUAAGGGAUUUCUUAAUGCAUCCUAUAUAUUACUUAUGCACCAUGUAAAAAUACUUAAAUGCCUCCAAAUUCUGGAAAUGCAUCUCCGGACGCACCUUGAAACGUUAAAUGAACCGGAGAUGCAUCUUCGUAACAAUUUAAAACAUAUAUCAUGCAUCACACUCAUAAAUUAUUUUACAGGUUUAUUGUGCCGGAGAUACAUCUCCAUUUAGUUUACGGAGAUGUAUAUAUCUAACCUAUCAGAACAGAAUAAUACAUGUUAUGUUUUGUUUAUGUGUAUUCAAAUGAAAAUUUAAACCAUACAAUCCAUAUGCAAAAAAUGACGUAUAUAAAUCCAGAUGGUCCAAAGUCAUAUAUAAAUAAAUUUGAAUAUAACAAUAAACUAGCAUGAGAUGAAAAUAAAAUACAAUUCAUAGUACAACUACUAUAUACUACUACACUACUGUGUAUGUCAGACUACAUCUCUUAUGUCUCAUCUGCCUCCUCGAGCUCCUCAGCCAUCAAUCCCCUCACCCUCUGACGUUGUCUCUGAUUCAUCAAUAUCCUCCAUAGCUCCAUCAUGAUGGCAUCUAGGAUUUGCCUUACAUCAGACCAAUCAAUGAAGAUACCUUUAGUGUAUAAAUAGGUGAAACUUAGCGCCUGUGGGAGGAUAGAGGGAGUGAUGCGUCGGUAGGUUAAAUAUGUCUCCUACGGGAAGAAGAAUAUGUAGAAGGAUGAUGAGAAACAUGAGUCCUAGAGGUAGAUGACUCUGCAUGGCCAGAGUGAGCAGGAGCCUCUGAAACCUCUAUCAGCCAUAAUGCUUGUUAGUUAAAGUAAACCAGACAAUUAAUACAAGCAAGCAAGAAAAUAAAAAUAAAAAGAUUGAGAAAAUUCUGGAGAUGCAUCUCCGGUUACUGGAAAGCUUAAACGUUGAAAAAUUCCAGAGAUGCAUCUCUAGAAUUUUCUACAACACAGCUAAUGCGUUAAUGGUGGCAAUGCUUACACGCGAACACAAAAAAUAAUGCAUUGAUAAUCAUUUUCAACCAACAAACAUGUUUUACACUAUGUCUAAACUAUCAUUCAUACAAUUUCUACUCAUUUACAUAAAAACUCAAACUUUUCGAAACAUCAAAAAAUUUAUAAUUUUUCACUUUGCUUUAGUGUUUGAUGAUAUUUUUGAUGUUGAUUGAAGAUAUUUUGAGCUUGGUUGUUUGAUUUUGGACUUGAUGAUGAAAAAAAAUUGAGAGUUUGAAAAAGUUUUAAGAUUUUUUAAAAAUGAGGAAGGAGAAGGAUUCUUACGCGAUUUAGCUCCAAAACAUUUUGGAGAUGUAUCUUCGAAAUAAGUUCGAAAAUGAAUAUCCGAAAUAUUUUAAAAUUAACUAAAAAUUAGAUGCAUCCAGAUAUAGAUCUCUAAAAUAUUUUAAGUAUUUUGAUAAUCGUAAAAUUGUAUCAAUAUAUUCUCCACACAAAUAAUCUAUACUACACUAGCUAACAUCACCAAAGUUAUUAACCUCUCACAUGAUAUUUUUUACAUAUAGAUGGAAAAUGAUUCAUGUAAUGUUUGCCAGCUAUCAAAAGUUGGAAGUAGCCAUUUAGCCCCAUGUUCACGUGAUAUGCUAUAACAAACACCUUUUGUUUUCUUCUCAUACUCCUUCCAUCACUAUUCCUAUAUAUCACCUUCACUCCUUUCUUUUACAAUCACUCCACUUCACUCUAGUUUCCCUUUUCUCUCUUAACAUGGAGUCCUCCUCAAAGUUCUAUGCUUAUCUCAUCAUUUGCAUGCUUUUCAUCUCCUCAGCUACACCUAUUCUUGGUUGUGGCUAUUGUGGAAAACCACAUAAAAAACACAAACCAGGUAAAAAACCAAUCGUCACUCCACCAACCGUUAAACCACCAACGGUAAAACCACCUGUCACAAUACCACCUAUCACAGUCCCUCCCGUUGUACCUCUUCCACCUCUUCCAGUACCUCCCGUCACCGUUCCUCCGGUUGUACCUCUUCCACAUGUUCCAAUCCCUCCAGUUGUACCUCUUCCACAUGUUCCAAUCCCUCCGGUCACAGUGCCUCCAGUUGUACCUCUUCCACAUGUUCCAAUCCCUCCGGUCACAGUCCCUCCAGUUGUACCUCUUCCACAUGUUCCAAUCCCUCCAGUCACAGUCCCUCCGGUUGUACCUCUUCCACAUGUUCCAAUCCCUCCCGUCACCGUUCCUCCGGUGCUUAAUCCACCAAGCACAGGAGGAACUCCACCAAAGAAAGGAGGGGGUGCAUGUCCACCACCAUCAACCAC